GAAAUGCGAUAAGUAGUGUGAAUUGCAGAAUUCAGUGAAUCAUCGAAUCUUUGAACGCACAUUGCGCCCUUUGGUAUUCCUUAGGGCAUGCCUGUUCGAGCGUCAUCUAAACCCUCAAGCCCUGCUUGGUGUUGGGUGCCUGUCCCGCCCCCGUGCGUGGACUCACCUCAAAUCCAUUGGCGGCCCUCGUGCCGGCCCCGAGCGCAGCAGAAACGCGGUCUCGUGGCCCGGCGGAGCGUGCCCCCAGAAGCAACAUUCACCGUUUUGACCUCGGAUCAGGUAGGGAUACCCGCUGAACUUAAGC
rnacentral:misc_RNA from 1 species